AAAGGGGCGCGUAGGUGACCUGCGGAGGGAUCAUUACACAAAUAUGAAGGCGGGCUGGAACCUCUCGGGGUUACAGCCUUGCUGAAUUAUUCACCCUUGUCUUUUGCGUACUUCUUGUUUCCUUGGUGGGUUCGCCCACCACUAGGACAAACAUAAACCUUUUGUAAUUGCAAUCAGCGUCAGUAACAAAUUAAUAAUUACAACUUUCAACAACGGAUCUCUUGGUUCUGGCAUCGAUGAAGAACGCAGCGAAAUGCGAUAAGUAGUGUGAAUUGCAGAAUUCAGUGAAUCAUCGAAUCUUUGAACGCACAUUGCGCCCUUUGGUAUUCCAAAGGGCAUGCCUGUUCGAGCGUCAUUUGUACCCUCAAGCUUUGCUUGGUGUUGGGCGUCUUGUCUCUAGCUUUGCUGGAGACUCGCCUUAAAGUAAUUGGCAGCCGGCCUACUGGUUUCGGAGCGCAGCACAAGUCGCACUCUCUAUCAGCAAAGGUCUAGCAUCCACUAAGCCUUUUUUUCAACUUUUGACCUCGGAUCAGGUAGGGAUACCCGCUGAACUUAA
rnacentral:rRNA from 1 species